AGCCUUACCGGUCCCAGGGUGCGGGAAGGUGGGAUGGGUGCGCUAAGCCAGUUCCAAGGAGUCCGCCCCGAGCGCCAACUCUUCCGGCCGCGGCGAUCGUUCUGCGGGGACGACAGGGCGUCAGCGCGCAGAGCCGGGCUCCGGCCGGGGCCGACGGGCGGCGCAGUGAAGGCGGGGCCGCGGGGCCAAGCCCACCCCGCGCCGACCGGCCCCGGUGCGCCCAGCGGAGCGGAGCGGAGCGCGCGGAGGGAGGAGUUUUCCCAGAAUGGGACUGACGGGAAAACACGGGGAUCCCUAUUCCUGGAGGAAUCCAGCCUGGUGCCUGGGAUAGGGAAGUGCAUGAUAAAUGCUGCAUAAAUGAAAAACAAUUGCUACCGUGGAAGAUAUUGAAAGGAAAGUGCUAUCGAUGCCAAAGUUGUUUCCAAGAGAGGUAUUCCAAAAGUGUUUCAAGCAAUGACUGAGCUAAGCAUCCAGUCCUGCAAGGUGAAGGCGUUGAAGACGCAGCCCUCAUUUGAAUAGAUGAAUUGUGGUAUUCUUGUUAAAUAAUGAAUCAUAUCAAGGCUUGGUCACACCUCAUGCACAUGAAAAGACCAAAACGCAAGGCAGCAUAUCAGCGCCACGUGAAGUACACACUAAGCACCAACUAUUUAAUUCAGCAAUCAUGGGGGGCCCGGUGGCUCACGCCUGUCAUCUUAGCAAUUUGGGAGGCCGAGGCAGGUGGAUCGCUUGAGCCCAGGAGUUCGAGAUCAGCCUGGGCAUCAUGGUGGCCUGCACCUGUAGUCCCAGCUACUCAGGAGGCUGAGGUGGGAGGAUAGUUUGACCCCAGAAAGUUGAGGCUGCAGUGAGCCGUGAAUGCACCACUACACACCAGCCUGGAUGACAGAGCGAAACCCUGUCUCAAAGUAAUUAAUAAUAAUUAUAUUAAUUCAGCAAUCA